rnacentral:rRNA from 1 species
GAUGAACGCUAGCGGCAGGCUUAAUACAUGCAAGUCGUGGGGCAGCAUGAGUAGCAAUACUUGAUGGCGACCGGCAAACGGGUGAGGAACACGUACACAACCUUCCUUCAAGCGGGGAAUAGCCCAGAGAAAUUUGGAUUAAUACCCCAUAAUAUAUUUGAUAAGGCAUCUUAUUAAUAUUAAAGCUUCGGCACUUGAUGAUGGGUGUGCGGCUGAUUAGAUAGUUGGCGGGGUAACGGCCCACCAAGUCUACGAUCAGUAGCUGAUGUGAGAGCAUGAUCAGCCACACGGGCACUGAGACACGGGGCCCGACUCCUACGGGAGGCAGCAGUAAGGAAUAUUGGACAAUGGACGAAAGUCUGAUCCAGCCAUGCCGCGUGAAGGAUUAAGGUCCUCUGGAUUGUAAACUUCUUUUAUAUGGGACGAAAAAGGGCAUUCUUGUUCACUUGACGGUACCAUAUGAAUAAGCACCGGCUAACUCCGUGCCAGC